UAACACAUGCAAGUCGAACGGGAAGCCUGACUUCGGUUGGGUGGAGAGUGGUGGACGGGGGAGUAACACGUAGAUGACCUGCCUUGAGGAAGGGGACAACCAGUGGAAACGCUGGCUAAUACCGUAUAAGCUUGUUGUAGUUAGAGAGCAACAAGGAAAGGGACUUCGGUCUCGCCUGAAGAGGUGCGGGCGGGCAGCUAGUUGGAGAGGUAAAAGCUUACCAAGGCGAAGACGGCUAGGGGGCGUGAGAGCGCGACCCCCCACAAUGGGACUGAGACACGGCCCAUACUCCUACGGGAGGCAGCAGUGAGGAAUAUUGCACAAUGGGGGAAACCCUGAUGCAGCAAUGCCGCGUGAGUGAAGAAGGCCUUCGGGUCGUAAAGCUCUUUUCUGUGGGAAGAGAGAGGACGGUACCACAGGAAUAAGUCCCGGCUAACUACGUGCCAGCAGCCGCGGUAAAACGUAGGGGGCGAGCGUUAUCCGGAAUUAUUGGGCGUAAAGCGCAUGUAGGCGGACUAGUAAGAUAGAUGUGAAAGCUCCCGGCUUAACUGGGAGAGGCCAUUUGUGACUGCUUGGCUUGAGGUAGGUAGAGGAGAGCGGAAUUCCCGGUGUAGUGGUGGAAUGCGUAGAGAUCGGGAGGAACACCAGUGGCGAAAGCGGCUCUCUGGACCUGAACUGACGCUCAGAUGCGAAAGCGUGGGGAGCGAACGGGAUUAGAUACCCCGGUAGUCCACGCUGUAAACGAUGGGUACUAGGUGUAGCGGGUAUUGACCCCUGCUGUGCCGAAGCUAACGCGCUAAGUACCCCGCCUGGGGAGUACGACCGCAAGGUUAAAACUCAAAGGAAUUGACGGGGGCCCGCACAAGCAGCGGAGCGUGUGGUUUAAUUCGAUAAUACGCGAAGAACCUUACCUGGGUUUGACAUCUACGUAGUAAAGAGGUGAAAGCGGAUUGACCCUUCGGGGAGCGUAGACAGGUGUUGCAUGGCUGUCGUCAGCUCGUGUCGUGAGAUGUUGGGUUAAGUCCCGCAACGAGCGCAACCCUCGUCGUUAGUUAUACGUGUCUAGCGAGACGGCCGGUUUCACGCCGGAGGAAGGUGGGGACGACGUCAAGUCAGCAUGACCUUUAUAUCCAGGGCGACACACACGCUACAAUGGUCGGUACAGCGGGCAGCCACACCGCGAGGUGGAGCGAAUCCUGAAAGCCGGUCUCAGUUCGGAUAGCAGUCUGCAACUCGACUGCUUGAAGGUGGAGUUGCUAGUAACCGCGCGUCAGCCAUAGUGCGGUGAAUACCGUUCCCGGGCCUUGUACACACCGCCCGUCACGUCAUGGAAGCGUUGCACCAGAAGCCGCCGGGCUAACCUUUCGGGGAGGCAGGCGUCUACGGUGUGGUCGGUAACUGGGGUGAAGUCGUAACAAGGUAACU
rnacentral:rRNA from 1 species